ACUACAUGAAGUUGGAAUCGCUAGUAAUCGCGAAUCAGAAUGUCGCGGUGAAUACGUUCCCGGGUCUUGUACACACCGCCCGUCACACCAUGGGAGUCGGAUAUGCCCGAAGCCGGUGACCUAACCGCAAGGAAGGAGCCGUCGAAGGUGGAGCCGAUGACUGGGGUGAAGUCGUAACAAGGUAAC
rnacentral:rRNA from 1 species